rnacentral:misc_RNA from 1 species
UCAUGGGACAAACCGCGAUGCAGAAGAUCCUGGCGGUGCACGCCGGGAAAAAAGAAGUGAAGCCGGGCGAAUUCAUCAUGGCGAAGGUGGACCUCGCCAUGGCCAAUGACGUCACGGCGCCGAUUUCCAUCAAGGCACUGGAGCGCGCCGGCAUCACCAAACUUUGGAAUAAAGACCGCAUCGCAAUUGUGCUUUCGCAUUUCGUUCCGGCGAAGGACGCGCUCAGCGCGGCGCAGGCCGCCGUGGCUCGGGAAUUCUGCCAGAAAUACGACAUCCCGCUUUU